rnacentral:rRNA from 1 species
GCCCAGACUCCUACGGGAGGCAGCAGUGAGGAAUAUUGGUCAAUGGCCGAGAGCCUGAACCAGCCAAGUCGCGUGAGGGAGUACUGCCCUAUGGGUUGUAAACCUCUUUUGUCGGGGAGCAAAAGCCGGACGUGUCCGGCUGUGAGAGUACCCGAAGAAAAAGCAUCGGCUAACUCCGUGCCAGCAGCCGCGGUAAUACGGAGGAUGCGAGCGUUAUCCGGAUUUAUUGGGUUUAAAGGGUGCGCAGGCGGGCUUUAGGGCGGGGGGGAAAAGGGGGGGCCCCACCCCCGCCGAGCCGUCGGAACUGGGGGCCUUGAGUGCGGCGGAGGCAUGCGGAAUGCGCGGUGUAGCGGUGAAAUGCAUAGAUAUCGCGCAGAACCCCGAUUGCGAAGGCAGCGUGCCGUGCCGCCACUGACGCUGAGGCACGAAAGCGCGGGGAUCGAACAGGAUUAGAUACCCUAGUA